UGCCACUUAAACUGGGUUUCAGAGGA
rnacentral:piRNA from 1 species